UGGAGAUGUUGCUCAAUGGUAGAGCUCUUGCCAAGCAUGCACUAGCCUCUGGGUUCAAUCCCCAGUACUGCAA
rnacentral:tRNA from 1 species